GGCUACAGAGCCACAAAUGGUUCUGUUCAACAUAUAUGAUGAUUGGUUGAAGAGUAUCUCAUCUUAUACAGCAUUCUCCAGGCUCAUCCUCAUUCUGCGUGCGCUCCAUGUGAACAAUGAGAAGGCUAAGAUGUUACUCAAGCCUGACAAGUCUAUCAUUACUGAGCCUCACCACAUCUGGCCUUCACUUACAGAUGACCAGUGGAUGAAGGUUGAGGUAGCGCUUCGAGAUCUCAUUCUCUCAGACUAUGCAAAAAAGAACAACGUGAACACAUCAGCAUUGACAGUGUCUGAGAUCCGUGAUAUUAUACUUGGAGCUGAGAUAACUCCUCCAUCACAGCAGCGCCAACAGAUAGCUGAGAUUGAGAAACAGGCUAAGGAAGCAAGUCAACUGACUGCUGUUACGACAAAGACAACUAAUGUCCAUGGUGAUGAGUUGAUUGUUACUACAACAAGUCCCUAUGAACAAGCUGCCUUUGGCUCUAAAACAGAUUGGCGUGUCA
rnacentral:misc_RNA from 1 species